rnacentral:rRNA from 1 species
UGCCUAUACAUGCAGUCGAACGCUUUGUGGUUCACUGAUUUGAAGAGCUUGCUCAGAUAUGACGAUGGACAUUGCAAAGAGUGGCGAACGGGUGAGUAACACGUGGGAAACCUACCUCUUAGCAGGGGAUAACAUUUGGAAACAGAUGCUAAUACCGUAUAACAAUAGCAACCGCAUGGUUGCUACUUAAAAGAUGGUUCUGCUAUCACUAAGAGAUGGUCCCGCGGUGCAUUAGUUAGUUGGUGAGGUAAUGGCUCACCAAGACGAUGAUGCAUAGCCGAGUUGAGAGACUGAUCGGCCACAAUGGGACUGAGACACGGCCCAUACUCCUACGGGAGGCAGCAGUAGGGAAUCUUCCACAAUGGGCGAAAGCCUGAUGGAGCAACGCCGCGUGUGUGAUGAAGGGUUUCGGCUCGUAAAACACUGUUGUAAGAGAAGAAUGACAUUGAGAGUAACUGUUCAAUGUGUGACGGUAUCUUACCAGAAAGGAACGGCUAAAUACGUGCCAGCAGCCGCGGUAAUACGUAUGUUCCAAGCGUUAUCCGGAUUUAUUGGGCGUAAAGCGAGCGCAGACGGUUAUUUAAGUCUGAAGUGAAAGCCCUCAGCUCAACUGAGGAAUUGCUUUGGAAACUGGAUGACUUGAGUGCAGUAGAGGAAAGUGGAACUCCAUGUGUAGCGGUGAAAUGCGUAGAUAUAUGGAAGAACACCAGUGGCGAAGGCGGCUUUCUGGACUGUAACUGACGUUGAGGCUCGAAAGUGUGGGUAGCAAACAGGAUUAGAUACCCUGGUAGUCCACACCGUAAACGAUGAGUGCUAGGUGUUUGAGGGUUUCCGCCCUUAAGUGCCGCAGCUAACGCAUUAAGCACUCCGCCUGGGGAGUACGACCGCAAGGUUGAAACUCAAAGGAAUUGACGGGGACCCGCACAAGCGGUGGAGCAUGUGGUUUAAUUCGAAGCAACGCGAAGAACCUUACCAGGUCUUGACAUCCCUUGACAACUCCAGAGGAUGGAGCGUUCCCUUCGGGGACAAGGUGACAGGUGGGUGCAUGGUUGUCGUCAGCUCCUGUCCUGAGAAGUUUGGGGUUAAGUCCCGCAACGAGCGCAACCCUUAUUACUAGUUGCCAGCAUUUAGUUGGGCACUCUAAUGAGACUGCCGGUGACAACCCGAGGAAAGAAGGGGGGGAGAGAAGCCAAAUAAUUUUGCGCCCUUUUAACCGGGGGUACA